GAAAAGUAUUAUUUUCUUAAUGUUUAAAAACUUUUUAACAAGUGAAAGCAAAGCUUAGCCUUAUAUUCCAAAUUGGACUUUAUAAUCAAACAUUUUGUGUGUGUGUAAAUUUAAAAGGCAAACACUUUGUUGAGAAAAAGAAAGUCCUUCUCUCUCUUUGAAAACUACUUUCAGUUUUCUUAAGUUAAAAUAAAUGAUGUUAGAGUAAUUUCAUCAUACAGAUAACUGGGUAAAGUAUGGGCUGCAUAAAAUGGAGUUUUACCAGGAGAGGAGGGGCAGACACUGUGAGACCACUCAGGGCUACACACUUUCUGUAACUGAUUUCUUAUUCCUCAGUGGUGAUUGUCAGCAUUAUUCCCCUGUCACAUGUGAAAAAACCAGUUAAUGAAGAGGACACCCAAAGCCAAUGUAAAGUAGGUUUUCUGCUUGAAAAACCUGCUUCUAUUUUUAAAAAAAAUUUACACAAGUCAGAAUAGUAAAAAAAAAAAACAGAGAUAAAAUGAGUAUCUACAGCCUAUCCUACACUGGUGGCUAUUACAUUUUAAUUAAAGUUUGCUCUUCUUUUUCACCAUCUCUGGAGAAACUGCCAGAAGGAAAAUGAGGUUUAUCAUCAGGAACUGUUGUCUGAAUGUAUGGACCUAAUGUUUUCAUCAGCUUCCUUCAGCAUCCUGAGAUCUCUAUCUAACUCUGCUCAACUCAGACUUUUCCUGCAGGAUCAUAAUGCAAAGUAGUCUUUAGCUCUCAGAGACUUUUAAAAACAUAGGUUAUUAAAAACAACCACCACCAAAACAAUGCCCCAAUUUAUGCCUGUUCUGGAUAGCAGUUUUAACCACUAAAAAUACUGUUACCUUUGUGUGUGUGUUUACAUAUACAUACUGGAGAGUGUUACUAAGCUCUUGGAAAACAAAGCUAAACAACAACUUGAGCCACUAUAAAUGCUACUGGAUCACAGAGUUCACAGAAAGAUGAUCUGUGUUUACUCACAUGUUCUGUCUUCUGGAGGUGUGCUAGUGUUGGUGUGGUCUGACUGCCUUUCAUCUAUUAUUACUCAGUUCACAGAGAAUAUGUACCUAUUUUGUGGUAGGCAUAUAGAUGCUUGAGGUUGAUAAUGGGGAAGAAAUUAUGAUCCCUGACUUCAGUACUGCUACAUGAUAGAAACAAGAAAAAAUGACUUCAUUAAAUGUCAAGUGGCAUCUGUAAUGAUAGCUGCAACAGAGAGGCUAUGAUGCUAAGAGAUAUAGGGUAUAUACAGGUGUCAUCGCCAUCCUCUGAAUGGGAGGGAGGUAAGUUUACCCUGUGAAGAAAAUUAAGAUCCUGAAGGGGAAUCAGCAACUGAUGUUAAAGGGUGCUGGAACUCACUGAAGCCUUCUGGCAGGAGAGAGCUGACCAGUGCAGGGAGCCAGGGUGAAGGAGUGAAGGGAUGAGGGUGAAGAGGUAAAGGGCCCUGGAGGUGGGGAUGGAGGAGGGAAAGGACACAUAAGAGGCACUAAGACCUCUAGGAUUUAGGAAAAAAUGGCUGAUCCCCAAAGGUAAUGUGGAUGAGCUGAAUAAGGAUUUUGUUUCAGCAUCCUGAAUAAAACAUGUCCAUUUGGCUAAAAAAGUAAAAGCAGAAUGUCCUUAUAGUUUUUAAUACACCCACCCUGGGGUUUUUGGUAUGCUAGCAAAGGUAAUUUGCCUUAAAGUAUAAGCACAAUCUUUAAGGAUUUCAAUAUGUAUAUUUGAUGAUAGGAGGACAGGUCCUGACCACGGAGUUAUGUACAUACAUUCAAGGAUGAAAUUUAUUUUAAUUGAAAAUAAAUUCAGGGAGAAGGAAAAUAAAAGAAAACAAUUUGUAAGUUCAGGGCAUACUCAUUCGUAGAGGUGAAUUUGUUUCUUUAGAACAUUCUUAGAAUCUUUUAACGUGCCAGCAAAUGGGACAAUUUUGGGAAGGCAUAGUAAGAAGGUAAUAACUGGGUUUUCCCAGACUUCAAAAUUGGAGAAGAUCUUGUUAGCUGAUUAAUGUAAUAAAGUUAAGUAAAUCAUUUCAGGCUUAUACCUCAUUGUGUUUUGAGCUUGUGGUUGGGAAUUUUAAGAAGAGUUUAAAAAAAUGAAAAACAUGAUCUCUGUAAUUUAAGGAUGAAAUAAUGGUUUACAUAUUCAUAUACACAAAGAUAUUUUAUAAUCUUAAAACAAAUCCUUCCAGGGGAAUUUUAAACCCAUGUCCAAACAUUCUGGUCUUAUAAAUUUAUUCUAAUACUUUUUAUGUUGUUUCUACUUUUCUGAAUCUUAUAUUUUUUUACUGUAAUGGAUUUUCAUAAUCAGAAAAGAUUUACUUAGUAAUCGUGAGUUGCCUGUAUUUGGCAGAAAGUCAGUGGAAUUAAUAAGGCACCUUCAGCCUAUCCAUGACAUCAUUAAAAGUAUCAAAAGCUAUUAAUCAAAAACUUUUUUAAGCAUUUCAAAAGUGAGAAAAGCUUGGAAAGUUCUUUCAUAUCCUCAAGCUUUUCAUGUAGUAAUACAUGAAUUAGGAUGAGAUUUUAGUUCAGUCCCUAGCUUGCAAUGUUACCAUUUUUCUCUACAAGCCACAGGUCCAUUAUGUCCUUAGGUGAAAGUCUUCAUAUAAAAUCAUAAGAUUCAUCCAGCUCUGUGUCACUUACAGUUCCUACCAAUAAUGGAUACAGCACACUUUCAUGUCCUGUAUUGCAGAAAUACUUAUAUAAACUUUGAACAUGGAGAUAAUUAAGUAGCUGGAAGAAACGAAAUGCUAAAUCAAUGGAUAGAGUUGGGGCAAAAAAUGUUAUUGCUAGUAAACAACUUUGAAAAUGUGAUAUGAACAUACAAUAGAGAGAAAUAUAUUUAAAAUUAUAUAAUGCCAUAAAUGGAACCUUUUAAACUUACAUUUCCAUAUGGUGCUACUUUAAAUGAUAUUUUUUGGUCAUGUUUUAAUGCCUAAGGAAUAUUUGAAAUAAUAUAAAAGGAAAAUGAUGAAAAAUUACAUCACUGGAGGCUUUUCUAAUUAAAAUAGAUUUUUUCUAUGAUAUCUACAUAAUUUUCUCCUCUCAUUUUCUAUUAUGUUUUUUCCUAUAUAGCAUAGUGAUAGCGAAGUAUAAUAGAAUCCAAAGAUUAAAUGUCACUAUCAUACUAGUUCAAAGAAUCUAAAAACAUUCUUAAGAAUAAAGUAACAUGGUUUCUUGCAUGCAUAUUUACUGGUCCAAAGCUCACAAAAGAAGUGACUGUAUAUACACAGAGAACUAAAAAUCACUUUGUAUAAUAUUUCCACUUAAAAUAAUUUUGGCAUAAGUUAAUAAGAGCCUAAAAUAAUUUUAAUUGUAAAACUAAUUAAAUAAUUAAGACAUCUGAGUAUCAUUUAAGUGUAAAUCUAGUCAAGUAAAAGUGGUUUAACAAAAUUUGGGAUAUUUAUUCAGUAUGUUAAGAUAAUUUUGUAAAAAUAUAUGUAAUAGUGUACCUUCAUAAAUUAACCUUGAUUAAAGCCUUAUUUUUACUGACAUGUCAUUUGUUAAACUUGAAUUUAUUUUUCCUCAUUGAAACAAUAUUUUAG
ensembl:lncRNA